AGUCGUAACAAGGUUUCCGUAGGUGAACCUGCGGAAGGAUCAUUACCUAGAGUUUGUAGACUUCGGUCUGCUACCUCUUACCCAUGUCUUUUGAGUACCUUCGUUUCCUCGGCGGGUCCGCCCGCCGAUUGGACAACAUUCAAACCCUUUGCAGUUGCAAUCAGCGUCUGAAAAAACAUAAUAGUUACAACUUUCAACAACGGAUCUCUUGGUUCUGGCAUCGAUGAAGAACGCAGCGAAAUGCGAUAAGUAGUGUGAAUUGCAGAAUUCAGUGAAUCAUCGAAUCUUUGAACGCACAUUGCGCCCCUUGGUAUUCCAUGGGGCAUGCCUGUUCGAGCGUCAUUUGUACCUUCAAGCUCUGCUUGGUGUUGGGUGUUUUGUCUCGCCUCUGCGUGUAGACUCGCCUUAAAACAAUUGGCAGCCGGCGUAUUGAUUUCGGAGCGCAGUACAUCUCGCGCUUUGCACUCAUAACGGCGACGUCCAAAAGUACAUUUUUACACUCUUGACCUCGGAUCAGGUAGGGAUACCCGCUGAACUUAAGCAUAUCAAUAAAGUCG
rnacentral:rRNA from 1 species